rnacentral:rRNA from 1 species
AAAGGCCCAAGUUGAAAAACAUUCGGCGUAAAGGGUGGCUAAGGACCUAUUUCAAACUAGAGCUGAAUUUCUUCAAAGCUGUUAUACGCUCAUGAAAACUAGAAAAUCAACCACGAAAGUGGCUCUAAUCCCUCCUGACACCACGAAAGCUAUGACACAAACUGGGAUUAGAUACCCCACUAUGCGUAGCCGUAAACCUGACAGCUCUUUACAUUUGCUGUUCGCCCGGGAACUACGAGCGUAA